GUACACGCUGUGACUAGCAUAUCAAUAAGCGGAGGAAAAGAAACUAACGAGGAUUCCCUCAGUAACGGCGAGUGAAGCGGGAAGAGCUCAAAUUUGAAAUCUUGAAAGGUCACCUUUCACGAAUUGUAGUUUAAAGAAGUGUUUUCUGUUACGAUCGUAAUAUAAGUUCUUUGGAAUAGGACAUCACAGAGGGUGAGAAUCCCGUCUAUGAUUGCGAUUUGUAGCUUUGUGAUACACUUUCAAAGAGUCGGGUUGUUUGGGAAUGCAGCCCAAAACGGGAGGUAAAUUUCUUCUAAGGCUAAAUAUUGGCGAGAGACCGAUAGCGAACAAGUACCGUGAGGGAAAGAUGAAAAGAACUUUGAAAAGAGAGUUAAAUAGUACGUGAAAUUGUCAAAAGGGAAGCGUUUAACACCAGUGUUGUUUUCUGAAAAUCAACCUCUGUUAGCUUUAUGCAUGUUUGUUUAGACCUAAUCAGCUAUCUUGCAUGUUCUAUUGUUUGCAGUGGUGCACUUUUCAGUUUACAGGUCAACAUCAGUUUUUUUUACCGUAAAAAAGUUAAAGAAAGGUAGCUCAUGGCUCCGGUCGUGAGUGUUAUAGUCUUUUUCCUAUGCGGUAGGAGAGACUGAGGUCUGCAGUGUAGGCUAUUUGGCUAGAUACUCAGGUGCUAUGUGAUACCAUUUCAUAAACAACUUGUUGAUUAUGUUUUGUCUAUUGCAUACUCGCUUGUACUAUCAUACCUACGCUUAGGAUGUUGACGCAUGAGAUAUACGC
rnacentral:rRNA from 1 species